CGGAGCCCGCGGCGGCGAGUAGGGGGAAAUUCGAAGGAGCCGCGCAGCUUACACCCGCGGGGGGUGGAGGGAGCACUGUGACGAGAAACCGCUGAGCGUGACCGCCCUUCCCUCAAGGAGUUGGCUUUUAGCCUCACGGCCGGUUUCUGUUGGAAAAGCUGGCUGUGAGGCACCGUGCCCCAACCUCCCAGCACCUUCCUUGAUGCUCACUCCUGCUCAGCCCCUCAGUUAAGGUGCCGCACUACACCUGGUCCGCAGGAGGCCUCGGCCGGAACUCGCUUUCAGUGUCAGCCAGCACUUCUAUGCAGAUGAUUUGAUGCUUCUCAAACAUGUACCUUGAGCACUGGUUCUGAUCCCGCUAGUGUAUGGUGAUGCGGAACCCAGGGGAGUACACUAUCAGUUUGGCAUUCCCUCAUCGAACAGAGAAUAUAAGGAAGAAAAAUGUCGGUUCCAGCCAAAGCCCAGCACCCAUCGCCCUUACCCAGAACACUGUAUGCUACAAGAAUCCAUCCACCUCCACCCCUUCUCCACCUGGGUGUCUCUCAGACCCAGAAAAUGGUGCCAUUGGCCCACUGGGGACAGGUGCAGUCUUUUGGGAUAAAAUGGCUAGAUGAGUAUGGACAAGGAGGCAGGGCAGAUACAGUCCUUGCUUCCGGUUUUAGAGUUCUUCUAAACCACAAUCAACUUCUCCAAACACCCACCUUUGUCUUCUACCACAAUAGGGGUCAGAUCUAUUGCUGACUUUUCCUCCACCUUCUCUACAUCAGCAGCACCUAGGGGAAGAAAUGUUAUUGAAAAUAUACCUAAAGGAAGAACAUUCUCCUCUGUUACACACUAUUAUCCAACUGGAUAGACCUACAUCUAAAUGUCUGCGAUUACAGUAAUGUCAGCUGGGCACAGUGGCUCAUGCCUGUAAUCCCAGCAUUUUGGGAGACAGUAGCGGGCAGAUCACUUGAGGUCAGGAGUUCAAGACCAGCAUGGCCAACAUGGGAAAACCCAAUC